rnacentral:rRNA from 1 species
GACGAACGCUGGCGGCGUGCCUAAUACAUGCAAGUAGAACGCACAGUUUAUACCGUAGCUUGCUACACAAUAGACUGUGAGUUGCGAACGGGUGAGUAACGCGUAGGUAACCUGCCUGGUAGCGGGGGAUCACUAUUGGAAACGAUAGCUAAUACCGCAUAAUAUUAAUUAUUGCAUGAUAAUUAAUUGAAAGGUGCAAUUGCACCACUACCAGAUGGACCUGCGUUGUAUUAGCUAGUAGGUGAGGUUACGGCUCACCUAGGCGACGAUACAUAGCCGACCUGAGAGGGUGAUCGGCCACACUGGGACUGGGACACGGCCCAGACUCCUACGGGAGGCAGCAGUAGGGAAUCUUCGGCAAUGGACGAAAGUCUGACCGAGCAACGCCGCGUGAGUGAAGAAGGUUUUCGGAUCGUAAAGCUCUGUUGUAAGAGAAGAACGGGUGUGAGAGUGGAAAGUUCACACUGUGACGGUAUCUUACCAGAAAGGGACGGCUAACUACGUG